rnacentral:rRNA from 1 species
UACGUAGGAUGCAAGCGUUGUCCGGAAUUAUUGGGCGUAAAGAGCGCGCAGGCGGUCUAUCAAGUCAUGUGUGAAAUCCCUCGGCUCAACCGGGGAAGGACGCAUGAAACUGGCAAGCUAGAGUACCAAAGAGGGGGGGUGGAAUUCCCCGGUGUAGCGGUGAAAUGCGUAGAUAUCGGGAGGAACACCUGUGGCGAAGGCGGCCCCCUGGUUGGAUACUGACGCUGAUACGCGAAAGCGUGGGGAGCAAACAGG